ACCAGCUGAAAGUUUCUAGACGAAGGGCAUAUACCAGUUAAACUCCGCCAUUUUGCCUCUCAGUGUUCAAGCUUGAGCCCACGCAUCCAACUCCUGAGAUCUUACUGGGAAGCUGCUGAUCAUCAGUUUCAGGUAAGACGGGUUGAAGAUCCGAGAGGCUGAGUCACUUCCACAAAGUAACACAGCUGAUUUUAAAUGCCUGCAUUCAGCAUCCCUGCAGCAGGCUCCAGGUGGAAUUCUAAUGGGACCAGCCUCCAGUCCCUGGACCUUAGCCGUGGAAGGAGAGAAGAGGACAUCUGCACCUCCUCUCAGAGAAAGCCUGAUGCCUACUAAAGGACUUGGGUGGUGGACGCAGUGACCCUCAGUCUGGAGCUUGUUCACUGAACAUUGGAGACUAUCAUUUGCGCAGAUGGUCUUGGGCCUCUAUGAGCAGCAGGCUGCACCCCACAGUGACCUCCUCAUUCUACUCUGAGGCAUCUUCAUGAAAGCAGAUGUCCAUUGAAAAGCACCCAAGUGCAGUCUCAGCUGAUGAACUUCAGAGGCGAUUGAGACAAAGGCUCUCGGUCCCCUCUGCCCUUGGAUGGUGCCUCUGGUAUGCACUUGGCCUCUGUGUCUUUAUUUAGACUGGUCACUUCACAACCCAUCAUGUCACCCCACCCCUAACCGUGCCCACUCUGGGUCCUCCCCUCAACUGCCUGACUUCCCACUUUGAGCUCAGCAAAGGCA
rnacentral:lncRNA from 1 species